rnacentral:rRNA from 1 species
UAGGGAAUCUUCGGCAAUGGACGGAAGUCUGACCGAGCAACGCCGCGUGAGUGAAGAAGGUUUUCGGAUCGUAAAGCUCUGCUGUAAGAGAAGAACGAGUGUGAGAGUGGAAAGUUCACACUGUGACGGUAUCUUACCAGAAAGGGACGGCUAACUACGUGCCAGCAGCCGCGGUAAUACGUAGGCCCCGAGCGUUAUCCGGAUUUAUUGGGCGUAAAGCGAGCGCAGGCGGUUAGAUAAGUCUGAAGUUAAAGGCUGUGGCUUAACCAUAGUACGCUUUGGAAACUGUUUAACUUGAGUGCAAGAGGGGAGAGUGGAAUUCCAUGUGUAGCGGUGAAAUGCGUAGAUAUAUGGAGGAACACCGGUGGCGAAAGCGGCUCUCUGGCUUGUAACUGACGCUGAGGCUCGAAAGCGUGGGGAGCAAACAGGAUUAGAUACCCUGGUAGUCCACGCCGUAAACGAUGAGUGCUAGGUGUUAGACCCUUUCCGGGGUUUAGUGCCGUAGCUAACGCAUUAAGCACUCCGCCUGGGGAGUACGACCGCAAGGUUG